CUUCUUGAAUUGCAAGAGCCCCUAUUGCCUCUGGGACACUGCCAAAUGCAGUUGUAUAAAUAGAACAGUGCUGGACUUGCAAUGUAGCAAGGAAGUUAUACAUGCUCAACUUUUUCUUGGUUUGGUCCAGAGGAAAAUUAUAUGCAUGCAGAGGAAUGCUGUCUUGACACAGAUGAGAAUCUUGGUUUUGCUUUUCUUUCUCUUUCCCUUUUUUUUAUGUCAUCCACUGAACACACACAUGCAGAUUUUACACAGUGUGCAUUUUUUUCCAUGGGUAAUUCACUUUUGAUUUCCUGCCCUGUGACUCAGAGGUGGUGCACCGUGAGAGUUGCUGGUCAAUUCACCCAGGACAGACAUUGCCUGACCCGGAGCCUGGGCAACAGAGGAGAAAAGGGGCACAAGCUGCACAGCCUACAGCCAAUGCGAUAUGGACACAGUUGUUUUUCAAGCACAGCAUUGGUUGAAACUAGCAGUCCUUACAACUAGGAUGGGGUAAGUCUUACAAGGAGGACUUUGAAAUUCAUAAUUACAACUUGUAGGGCAGCAGAGGAUAGACUGUGAUGUACUCUGGAGUCAUUACUGUCUUGGAACCACAAAAUUUGAAUGCAUGUGGGCUAAAUGUCUAACUGCUUUCACUAAGGAUAGAGAACAACAGGCAAUCUGGCUGAGAAGAAUCUGGGGAGCAUUUGCUGGAUUUUUGAUAUGUUUUUGCUGGAAUUUAAUUUUCCUUGAGAAAAACACUCUUGUAAACAACACAGAGGAACCUGUUUUGGCUAAAAUCACUUUUGACAGAAGCAUUUUGGUAAACCCUAUCGAACAAUUUUUAAAUACCUGGCCAAAGUUUAACAUCUUGGUGCCCAACAUUUGGUUCCCAAGUUGUUAUCCAGGCACCAAAACUGGUGGUCUGAUUUUUCCCAGGAGCACACUGAACAUCCCGUGCCUCUAGUUGCUGUGGAGUGAAGUGCUGAGUGCUUAGCAGUUCUGAAUUACCAGGCUCAUAGCCAGACUUCUGAAGUCUGAACAUCUAAAAUUAGAGAGCUAAGGUCUGGUCCAAAGCCCAGUAAAGUGAAUGGAAACGCCACUACUGAACUUCUGGUUCUGGGCGAGGCUAAUUCGUGUGUACUUAAAUACCACAAUAAAAAAGUGCCGUGUUCAGGUCA
rnacentral:lncRNA from 1 species